UACGUAGGAUCCAAGCGUUGUCCGGAUUUACUGGGCGUAAAGGGCGCGCAGGCGGCUAUCCAAGUCAGGCGUGAAAGCCCCGGGCUUAACCUGGGAGGUGCGUCUGGGACUGGGUGGCUAGAGUUCGGGAGAGGAGAGUGGAAUUCCCAGUGUAGAGGUGAAAUUCGUAGAUAUCAGGAAGAACACCCGUGGCGAAGGCGGCUCUCUGGAACGCAACUGACGCUGAGACGCGAAAGCGUGGGGAGCAAACAGG
rnacentral:rRNA from 1 species